rnacentral:rRNA from 1 species
AUUGAACGCUGGCGGCAGGCCUAACACAUGCAAGUCGAGCGGAUGAAGGGAGCUUGCUCCUGGAUUCAGCGGCGGACGGGUGAGUAAUGCCUAGGAAUCUGCCUUGUAGUUGGGGAUAACGUCCGGAAACGGGCGCUAAUACCGCAUACGUCCUGAGGGAGAAAGUGGGGGAUCUUCGGACCUCACGCUAUCAGAUGAGCCUAGGUCGGAUUAGCUAGUUGGUGGGGUAAAGGCCUACCAAGGCGACGAUCCGUAACUGGUCUGAGAGGAUGAUCAGUCACACUGGAACUGAGACACGGUCCAGACUCCUACGGGAGGCAGCAGUGGGGAAUAUUGGACAAUGGGCGAAGGCCUGAUCCAGCCAUGCCGCGUGUGUGAAGAAGGUCUUCGGAUUGUAAAGCACUUUAAGUUGGGAGGAAGGGCAGUAAGUUAAUACCUUGCUGUUUUGACGUUACCAACAGAAUAAGCACCGGCUAACUUCGUG